UCUACGGGGGGCUGCAGUCGGGAAUUUUGGGCAAUGGGCGAAAGCCUGACCCAGCAACGCCGCGUGAAGGAUGAAGUAUUUCGGUAUGUAAACUUCGAAAGAAUAGGAAGAAUACAUGACGGUACUAUUUAUAAGCUCCGGCUAACUACGUGCCAGCAGCCGCGGUAAUACGUAGGGAGCAAGCGUUGUUCGGAUUUACUGGGCGUAAAGGGCGCGUAGGCGGCGCGGUAAGUCACUUGUGAAAUCUCUGAGCUUAACGCAGAACGGCCAAGUGAUACUGCAGUGCUAGAGUGCAGAAAGGGCAAUCGGAAUGCUUGGUGUAGCGGUGAAAUGCGUAGAUAUCAAGAGGAACACCUGAGGCGAAGGCGGGUUGCUAGGCUGACACUGACGCUGAGGCGCGAAAGCCAGGGGAGCAAACGGGAUUAGAUACCCUUGUAGUC
rnacentral:rRNA from 1 species